rnacentral:misc_RNA from 1 species
UCCGAGUUGACCCCGGCAGUCUCCCAUGAGUCCCCGGCAUAACCCGCUGGCAACAUGCGACGGGGGUUGCGCUCGUUGCGGGACUUAACCCAACAUCUCACGACACGAGCUGACGACAGCCAUGCACCACCUGUGAGGAUGCCCCGAAGGGAGGGCCUGUUUCCAGGCCGGUCAUCCACAUGUCAAGCCCAGGUAAGGUUCUUCGCGUUGCGUCGAAUUAAUCCACAUGCUCCGCCGCUUGUGCGGGCCCCCGUCAAUUUCUUUGAGUUUUAGCCUUGCGGCCGUACUCCCCAGGCGGGGUGCUUAAUGCGUUAGCUUCGGCACGGAAGGAGUCGACACCUCCCACACCUAGCACCCAUCGUUUACGGCGUGGACUAC